rnacentral:tRNA from 1 species
UGUCAAGGGAUGGGAAUCGAACCCACGACCUUCCGCUUACAGGGCAGAUGCCAUGACCACUAGGCUACCCUGGAC